UUUCAGGGGUAAACCUGAGAAACCCAAAGAUCGAAUGGAGAGAUUCAUCGACGACGAGACUGGCUCCCGAUGGUGCGCGAUGCCCCGGUGGACCCUUGCGGUUCCACAGCGAGGGCACACCGCCAUCGGCGAACGUUCCGGUGAUGUAGUCGUGCACUUCUCCCCUAGUAGAACGUCGCGACCCGUUGCGCGUCGGUCUACGGCCCGAGUUGGGCGCCUGUGGCGUCGCAAUCUUGCGUACGCGGCAGACCCUCGGUCGCCCGGCCGGCUGCGCGACGGUACUCGUACGGUAUCGGGCCGCAACCAAUCCAUUCUCGAAUGUAUGUGCGUCUAGCCCGCCGCAAGCUCGGUCAGACUACCCGGUGGUACGGACUCUGUGCCGGCGCCGGGCCUGGCCAGCUGUUAGCAGGCGGUGUCCUCGGACUGGCCAAGCUUCGAAUUACCGGUCGGCGACGCUACUGCUUUGGGUACUCUCAGGACCCGUCUUGAAACACGGACCAAGGAGUCUAACAUGUGCGCGAGUCAUUGGGAUGCAUAAACCUAAAGGCGAAAUGAAAGUGAAAGUCGGCCUUCGCGUCGACCAAGGGAGGAUGGGCCGCGUACCCAUGCGGCCUCGCACUCCCGGGGCGUCUCGCUCUCAUUGCGAGAAGAGGCGCACNUAGAGCGUA
rnacentral:rRNA from 1 species